CAAUAAGUGUUUAUGGCACUUUCAAAUCCAUACCCACCUUGUGUGCAUUGUAAGGGCCCUUUCGAAAGACUGGGCUUCAUUUUCUCACACGUCUUCAAUUGCAAGUCUAACAUUCAGAGUAUAAUCAAAAACUCGAAUA
rnacentral:misc_RNA from 1 species